GUCGGUCUCUUCUACUUCAAGAUCUACAAUUCCUCCAUCUCGCUCCCUGCCAGGCUGUUAGGGCCUUGAGAGCAAGGCCUGAGUCAUGUUCAUCUCCGCAUCCUCCUGCCCAUCUGCCCUGCUUAGAGGCUUAGAGGACACUUCCUGCCCAGUAAUUACAGGCCAAGUUUCAGCUGCCCUCUAGGGGCCCAAAGUGACAAUGGCCCUCUCCUAUCUAUACAUAUGGUGCUUUCCCAUCAAAGGAAAGAUCCAUAGGCCUGGAAGUGGCCUCAGAGAACAGAGGCCUCCACUCAACCACAAAACCAUUGUGGUGGCCUCCCAGACAAGUGUCAUAGGCUCUGGAGUCCUUCAAGCCUGGGUUUGUUACAACUAUGUGAUUUUCAAACAAGUCAAUCCCCCUGAGCUCCCCUCUCAUCUGUAAAAUGGAGAUUAUAUCAGUCAGAAUGAGUUAAAUUAUGCUGCAGUAACAACCAUUCCCAA
rnacentral:lncRNA from 1 species